AAGCAACCGAAGCUGACCAAAGGCCAUAAAUAAAACCCCAAACCCAUCCUCCACCGAGAGAGAGAGAAAGCGACCAAAAAUAAUCGUAAACAUUUCCGAGUUCCGCUCCCCGAUGCCGCCCACCUCCCUCCUCCUCCUCCUCCUCCUGCUCGCCGGCGGCGCCGCGGCGGAGCCCCCGGCCCCGGCGCCCCCGGCGGCGAGGAACGAGACCAUCUACGACAUCCUCCCGCUCUUCGGCCUCCCCGCGGGCGUCUUCCCGGCCAACGUCCACCGCCUUCUCGCUCGCCGACAACGGCAGCCUCGCCGUCGACCUCGCCGGGCCCUGCUACGUGCACUUCGAGUACCUCACCUACUUCGAGCCCCGCGUCACGGGCGUGCUCCGCUACGGCUCCCUCACCGAGCUCCAGGGCGUGCAGGUCCGCCGCUUCCUCGUCUGGUUCACCGUCGUCCGCGUCAAGGUCGACCUGCCCCCGCCCCCGCGCUUCGUCUACCUCGACAUCGGCUGGAUCACCCGCAAGCUCCCCGCCGCCGACUUCCAGUCCCUCCACCCCUGCGAGGACUCCAAGAGGCGCGGGUGCCGCCUCUCCUCCGCGCUCGCCGCCGCCGCCGCUUGGUUCCAGGACUUCUUUGCCCAGUUUUAGGGGAUGCAGAAGGUCUAAUUUUGUGGCAUCAUCACACGAGCUUACAGCCUUCCGCGCCCUCAAGGAAUUGAAGCACCACACUCCCAUUUGUUGAUUGUUACACACGCACGUGUAUGUCUCUACGAGUACUCGACGCCGCUGUCUGAGCUCUACCAUUGUUUGAGAGGCAGACGAUCUUAUGAAAGAUUUGUAUUGGUUAUGUUAGUCCAAACUGAUGAUGCUGUGUGCUCCAUGCUUCGAUACAAUAACACUUUCUCAAGUGGUCUAUAUCAUCAUUUUGUUGGAACUA